rnacentral:rRNA from 1 species
UACGUAGGGGGCUAGCGUUGUCCGGAAUCAUUGGGCGUAAAGAGCGCGUAGGCGGCCAGAUAAGUCCGGUGUGAAAGUCACAGGCUCAACCUGUGAAUGCCGCUGGAAACUGUCUGGCUAGAGUCCGGGAGGGGCGAGUGGAAUCCUGGUGUAGCGGUGAAAUGCGCAGAUAUCAGGAGGAACACCAAUGGCGAAGGCGGCGCCUGGCG